UUCUUGGUCAUUUAGAGGAAGUAAAAGUCGUAACAAGGUUUCCGUAGGUGAACCUGCGGAAGGAUCAUUAAAGAAAUUUAAUAAUUUUGAAAAUGGAUUUUUUUGUUUUGGCAAGAGCAUGAGAGCUUUUACUGGGCAAGAAGACAAGAGAUGGAGAGUCCAGCCGGGCCUGCGCUUAAGUGCGCGGUCUUGCUAGGCUUGUAAGUUUCUUUCUUGCUAUUCCAAACGGUGAGAGAUUUCUGUGCUUUUGUUAUAGGACAAUUAAAACCGUUUCAAUACAACACACUGGGGAGUUUUCAUAUCUUUGCAACUUUUUCUUUGGGCAUUCGAGCAAUCGGGGCCCAGAGGUAACAAACACAAACAAUUUUAUCUAUUCAUUAAAUUUUUGUCAAAAACAAGAAUUUUCGUAACUGGAAAUUUUAAAAUAUUAAAAACUUUCAACAACGGAUCUCUUGGUUCACGCAUCGAUGAAGAACGCAGCGAAAUGCGAUACGUAAUGUGAAUUGCAGAAUUCCGUGAAUCAUCGAAUCUUUGAACGCACAUUGCGCCCCUUGGUAUUCCAGGGGGCAUGCCUGUUUGAGCGUCAUUUCCUUCUCAAACAUUCUGUUUGGUAGUGAGUGAUACUCUUUGGAGUUAACUUGAAAUUGCUGGCCUUUUCAUUGGAUGUUUUUUUUCCAAAGAGAGGUUUCUCUGCGUGCUUGAGGUAUAAUGCAAGUACGGUCGUUUUAGGUUUUACCAACUGCGGCUAAUCUUUUUUUAUACUGAGCGUAUUGGAACGUUAUCGAUAAGAAGAGAGCGUCUAGGCGAACAAUGUUCUUAAAGUUUGACCUCAAAUCAGGUAGGAGUACCCGCUGAACUUAAGCAUAUCAAUAAGCGGAGGAA
rnacentral:rRNA from 1 species